AUUUGGUUUCUGCAGCUGAAUCUUCACCUGCAUUUUUAACAUUCAGAAGCAGGACAGGAUGAUCAUAAUCUUGAAUAUAAAACAGAAUCACACCUGGAGAGUCCCCGGUAUUUGGAAAGUCCUCUUGAAAAACCACUGCUCUUCCUGCACAAAGUAUCACAAGUAAUCAGUAGGAUGGUUUCAUGCUAGAAAAUAUUCCGGUGCAGUAUAUACACACCUCCGUAAAGAUGCAAGGUAUUCCUCUCUGGAUACAUUCUGCAUUUCUUCAAGAUCUCUUGCAUAAUCAGUCACCUGUAGCAUACAGUUCAAACUUAGCACAGAAUUAUUAAAUUACCAGAAAAGAAUAGGUGGUGUGUGCUUUUACUACCAGAUGCACUAGAUUUAUAGCACCAAACCCUUGUUUCCAACAAAAUAUCAAUCUUAUGCUAGUGAUAUAUAAGGUCUUGCAAAUGCUACCGUCAAUAGUCAACAAGGUAUCUGUACCAAACUCUAGAAGCACCAAUCCCAACUAAUGGUUUUUAACAUCAAAUUUAUGCAAUCUCCAAAGCAUCUUUUGAUAUCAAAAAGUAAAGCAGGAUAUAAGCAGACAUCAUUUGCACCCAGCACUAUGAAAAGACAAAGUACCAAACUAUAUAGCAUUUCUGAACUGAAGUAUCCUUCAAAUCAAUAUUCUCAUUGAAGCAAUUUUCUUACUGGAAAGUUUAUGAGAGCACUCGGACCCCAAUAUCUCAGAGCAGCAAGGUCAUAUGCUCUAGCUGCUGCCUCUUCAUCAUCAUAUGCCCCUGUUUGAAAACCAUCAGCAACAAGCAGCAAGUUCAUUACAAAACCAGAAGAAAGGAAAAGAAUAAGGAGGGGGAGGGGGCAGGGUUCAAGUAAAGUGAGCAUCACAUAUCCAACUUACCCAAGUAAACUGGCAUCAUAAAUAAAUUGUUGUCCAAUCAAUUCAUGCACCACAAAAAAAUAGAUUAUGUACUUUUGUCCCAAAGAUGUGCUUCAUAACGACCAGUCCAUCUAUGCCUAAAAGUAGUUCAUGAAGCUAGGACAAUGAGUCCAUGAUCAGAGACACAAACCAUUAAAUCCCAACACCAGUGACAAACAUAAAAGCAUUUCAACCUUGAAAACAAAGCCUAAUGACAGAAAUAAUGUGCCAAUAGGCAGAUCUGCAAAGCAAUGAUAGCAUAUUGAUAAAAAAAUUAUUUCAAAAUCGAUUCUGGUGUGGGAUAUAUCUAUUGUGGCAUGUUUGGAAGUGAGAUUCUGGAAGAAAAGGGAAGGGAAGACAAAAAAAAAAUUAAAACAAAGUCUAAUGACAGAAAUAAUGCGCCAAUAUGCAGAUCUGCAAAGCAAUGAUAGCAUCAUGAUAAAAGAAUAUUUCAAAAUAGAUUCUGGUGUGGGAUAUAUCUAUUGUAGCCUGUUUGGAAGUGAGAUUCUGGAAGAAAAGGGAAGGGAAGACAAAUUUUUUAUUUUUAAAUUUGUGUAAUGCUUA